GGUGUGAUUUCCUCCUGUUGUGAAUGUGGGUUUCUGUUGUGGCUGUCUAUGAGUUGCUUUUGUGUGCAUCCUUUCUUUCUUUUAUUUUUUUUCAUUGGAGCGAAUAUUUGCGUGGGAUUAGGGGGGGAAACAAUACGACCACUUGCCUGGCAAAGAUCCAGCGGUGGAUGGGGGGGAGGGCUGGGACCUGGAAAGCGAGCGAGAGGUUGUGAGCGGUGGCGGAACCUUGGGCCUUGUCUUUGAUGCAACAGAACAAGAUUCCUGGUGAUAAGACAUGAGGCCAGCAUGCAGUGUAUCCAGCCAGUUGCUGCUGCUUUUCACUAUUCAGUUGACCAUCUGAUGUCCACACUGACUGCGUCUGAGAAGCAGGAUCGACCAGAAUUUCUACUAUGUGAUGAAACGGGCACAGUAUCACUGACUAAAAUCCUCCCACCCUGGAUUAUGCUGCAGCCAAUAGCGAGUGUCCCUGUAGUGUCUCUAGCUAUACUCUGGAUUUGAUGCCGGUUUCUGGACUUGAUACCAGACAAUGAGCCUCGUCCACUCACCAAAACUGUGUGUCAAUGGAAUGAGCCAGUAAACCUGAUAUGCAUUGUAA